CUAACAUGUGUGCGAGUCAAUGGGUCUCGAAUAAGCCCAGAGGCGCAAUGAAAGCAAAGGCCGGACUCGAUUCCGGCUGUGUUGGGAUCCCUCCGCCUGCGAGCGGGGGGCGCACCAACGACCCGUCCUCUCCGAUUUAUCGGUUGGGCGGAGUCUGAGCAUACACGUUGGGACCCGAAAGAUGGUGAACUAUGCCCGGGCAGGACGAAGCCAGAGGAAACUCUGGUGGAGGUCCGUAGCGGUUCUGACGUGCAAAUCGAUCGUCAGAUCCGGGUCUAGGUGCGAAAGACUAAUCGAAUCAUCUA
rnacentral:rRNA from 1 species